UUUUUUUUUGUUUUGUUUUGUUUUUUUUUUUACUAGAACACUGAAAUGGCCCUCCAAUGAGAUCACAGCUCAUUUAAGUUUGAGACCCUGCCUUAGGUGAACUAGGAUGCUUAAGGGUGGUGAUAUGCUGGUUCCUGACAAGAGAUGAAGAAAUCAAAGUCAGCUUUUCAAGACAGCCCCAAGACUCCUCGCAACCUGUGUUCAAAUGUGAGGCUGUUGUCAGGUGAUGAAUGCAAGGAAGAGGCACUCAACUGACAUGAAACAUGUCAAAGACAACAUGAAGGUGACAUUUCAACAUAGGCAAAAAGUGGUUCAAGAACCUGCCACAGCUUCUACUGUCCUGGACCUUUUCCCAAGAUUUCUGUACACCUGGCUUGGUUGACCAAGACUUCACAAUGCUGUUUGUUGGGGAGGAAGUGUCUGCUAAGUUCCUUGCAAAGUGGCCAACCAAGCCAAGGAUCAUCAAAGAUUGCAAAAAUCUGUCUCAGAGUACAGAAUUGGAUGAGCUGCUCAUUUCUGCACAGCGUUACUCUGACGAGGGUG
ensembl:lncRNA